rnacentral:rRNA from 1 species
CCUACGGGGGGCAGCAGUGGGGAAUAUUGCGCAAUGGGGGCAACCCUGACGCAGCAACGCCGCGUGCGGGACGAAGGCCUUCGGGUUGUAAACCGCUUUCAGCAGGGAAGAACCAUGACGGUACCUGCAGAAGAAGCCCCGGCUAACUACGUGCCAGCAGCCGCGGUAAUACGUAGGGGGCGAGCGUUAUCCGGAUUCAUUGGGCGUAAAGCGCGCGUAGGCGGCCCGCUAAGCGGGACCUCUAACCUGGGGGCUCAACCUCCAGCCGGGUCCCGAACUGGCGAGCUCGAGUGCGGUAGGGGCAGGCGGAAUUCCCGGUGUAGCGGUGGAAUGCGCAGAUAUCGGGAAGAACACCGAUGGCGAAGGCAGCCUGCUGGGCCGACACUGACGCUGAGGCGCGAAAGCUAGGGGAGCGAACAGGAUUAGAUACCC